AUUGAACGCUGGCGGCAGGCCUAACACAUGCAAGUCGAACGGAGCGGCGGACGGGGAAGUAAUGCCUAGGAAUCGGCCUGUGCGUGGGGGAUGACGUCCGGUACCGGACACUAAUACCGCACACUCUCAGAUUCGCAUAGGUCGGAUUAGCUAGUUGGUGGGGGAAAGGCCUACCAAGGCGACGAUCCGUAACUGGUCUGAGAGGAUGAUCAGCCACACUGGAACUGAGACACGGUCCAGACUCCUACGGGAGGCAGCAGUGGGGAAUAUUGGACAAUGGGCGCAAGCCUGAUCCAGCCAUGCCGCGUGUGUGAAGAAGGUCUUCGGAUUGUAAAGCACUUUCAGUUGGGAGGCGUUACCAACAGAAUAAGCACCGGCUAACUCCGUGCCAGCAGCCGCGGUAAUUC
rnacentral:rRNA from 1 species